AGUGAACGCUGGCGGUAGGCCUAACACAUGCAAGUCGAACGGCAGCACAGGAGAGCUUGCUCUCUGGGUGGCGAGUGGCGGACGGGUGAGGAAUACAUCGGAAUCUACUUUUUCGUGGGGGAUAACGUAGGGAAACUUACGCUAAUACCGCAUACGACCUACGGGUGAAAGCAGGGGAUCUUCGGACCUUGCGCGAUUGAAUGAGCCGAUGUCGGAUUAGCUAGUUGGCGGGGUAAAGGCCCACCAAGGCGACGAUCCGUAGCUGGUCUGAGAGGAUGAUCAGCCACACUGGGACUGAGACACGGUCCAGACUCCUACGGGAGGCAGCAGUGGGGAAUAUUGGACAAUGGGCGCAAGCCUGAUCCAGACAUACCGCGUGGGUGAAGAAGGCCUUCGGGUUGUAAAGCCCUUUUGUUGGGAAAGAAAUCCAGCUGGUUAAUACCCGGUUGGGAUGACGGUACCCAAAGAAUAAGCACCGGCUAACUUCGUGCCAGCAGCCGCGGUAA
rnacentral:rRNA from 1 species